CCCAGGCCAAUACACGUAUCCAAGACCACCUGGAGGGAGGGGGCACGCUGUCCCUCCGAGCCCCGGUCCCUCCGAGCCCCCGCCCGCCGGCCCGCGCAGCUGAAGCGCAAGGUCGGCCCUCGCCACUCACUCGCCCCCCUGGGCCCGCCCAAGGACACCGGAGAGGGCGUGCGGCUCGGAGAGGGUCCGGGACAGAGAGGGGCAAAGAGCAGGAGCUAGACCUCCCCGCGACGGGCACCGGACUGAUGGCAAAAGUUUCCUCUCCUCCGAUGCGAGCCGGGAGAGAGACGGGGGGAGGCGGACCGGCCGAAGCUGCGGACAGCAGAAUGUAAGCUGCAAGAGGGCAAGGCUUGGACUCCAAUUCAUGGGAAUUUCCCACUGCCUAGGAAUAUGCUUGGGACAUAGUGAUAUUCCCCACUACAUGGCACAGCACCUGGCACAGAAAAGCUGGACAUUCUGUCUCUGAGUGUUGAUGGAAUGGAAUGAAGUCCCAUGAAGCCCCAGGCCUGAAACGCCAGCUCCUCCAAGCAUGGAUGUGGGUAGAACCCUCUCUCACUCUGCUCUCGCAGCAACUCUUCCUCCCGCAUAGGUCACAGCUGGCAAGGCAUUUCCUCGUAGCUGCUCUCAGGGACUACUACCUCCCUGCCACUCUCCUACCCCAUGAGGAAAACAGAAAUGGGUCAUCUCAAUCCUGCAAGGAAGGACUGACUGUGCGAGCACGAGAAGUGCCGUAAGCGGAGCCCUCAGCCAUCAGCCCCUUUAGGGACGGCCUUUGCUGCAGAGAGCCUGCUCACCCAAGGUCACACCCAGGGAGGGGUGUCCACAUCCCACUGCCUGUUGAGACAGGAAAAUGAAAGUCUGGCCAUCUCUGCUGAUUGGCUCUUUUAGCCUGAGGACUCCCCCAGGGGCCAGUCAAAUGUGUCAUGGGGACCUCCCAUGGGACC